AUGACCUGUUGGUCUGCCAGUGCUGUUUUUUUUGCCCGUUAUGGCGGCACAAAUAGAGGACAGAUCACUGUAACUCAGAGUCCAUCAAUAACAGCAGCUCAAGCAGGACAAGAAGUCAGAAUAAACUGUAAAACCAGCAGUAAUGUGUAUAAUGGUAAUUAUUUAGCCUGGUAUUUACAGAAACCUGGAGAAGCUCCUAAACUCCUCAUAUAUUAUGUAUCUAUUAGUUACACUGGAACUCCAUCUAGAUUCAGUGGCAGUGGAUCUAACAGUGAUUUCACUCUGACCAUCAGUGGAGUCCAGACUGAAGAUAUAGGAGAUUAUUACUGUCAGAGUGAACACUGGCCAGGUAGCUACACAUUCGGUGGAGGAACUAAACUGGUGCUCGCUGGUCCCACAGUGAAGCCCUCAGUGUCUCUGCUGCCGCCCUCUUCUCUGCAGAUCUCUGGAGACUCAGCCGCACUGCUCUGCCUGCUCAGCUCUUACUCUCCACAGGGGGCGCUGGUGAGCUGGACACUGGACGGCUCAGAGGUCACCGAGGGGGUUGUGACCAGCGCAGAGAGCGAGCAGGACGGCCGCUACAGCCGCAGUAGUGUCCUGACCCUCAGCAAAGCACGCUGGGAAGAGGGAGAGCUGUACGUCUGCAGAGUAACACAUGAUGGAGCUCCUCAUGAGGCCUCGUUCCACAAGAGUCGCUGUUAGUCG